CAAAUCAUGUGGUUGUGCUAUUGGGUGUUGGUUCGGUGGGUUUUAUACCUGUCGAAUCGACCUCCUCAGCAUUAACAUACUUGCGCGUGUUGUGUUUGACAGAGUAAAUUAUUCUAUAAUUAAUGA
rnacentral:misc_RNA from 1 species